GGCGGACGGCGCUAAAUCACCGCCCGGCGCCCGGCUUUAACGGCCGCCGCGCCCAUGAGUAAUCUCGCACGACGGAAAGUUCGAAAAUAAUAAAAUAUAAACCGAUAGCGAAUUGCCCGCAGACGCCAUGACUCAUCUCACACGACGGAAAGUUCGAAGGGACUGUGCGAAUUGUGAGAUAAAUGAAACUAAUUACCUACUGAUAUACAGCUCGGCAAUAAAAAAAUAUACAGAUAACAGAUUGAUUUAUUAUUACUUACGCUGUACUUAUAUAUUAUAUUAUUUCAUCAUAUUAUGUUAUCCAAUGGUGUAGACUACAGGACUGCACCUGCAGGAGGGAUGCAACAUUGCAACUAUACAAGGGGACUACAACUGCAAUUUUCUAAAGUACAUUGAGCGU